rnacentral:tRNA from 1 species
AUUUAAAUAGCUUAUCAUAGAGCAUGAUAUUGAAGAUGUCAGGGUAACUUUUGUUUUUAGAUA